rnacentral:rRNA from 1 species
GUAACAGGAAGCAGCUUGCUGCUUUGCUGACGAGUGGCGGACGGGUGAGUAAUGUCUGGGAAACUGCCUGAUGGAGGGGGAUAACUACUGGAAACGGUGGCUAAUACCGCAUAACGUCGCAAGACCAAAGAGGGGGACCUUCGGGCCUCUUGCCAUCAGAUGUGCCCAGAUGGGAUUAGCUUGUUGGUGAGGUAACGGCUCACCAAGGCGACGAUCCCUAGCUGGUCUGAGAGGAUGACCAGCCACACUGGAACUGAGACACGGUCCAGACUCCUACGGGAGGCAGCAGUGGGGAAUAUUGCACAAUGGGCGCAAGCCUGAUGCAGCCAUGCCGCGUGUAUGAAGAAGGCCUUCGGGUUGUAAAGUACUUUCAGCGGGGAGGAAGGUGUUGUGGUUAAUAACCGCAGCAAUUGACGUUACCCGCAGAAGAAGCACCGGCUAACUCCGUGCCAGCAGCCGCGGUAAUACGGAGGGUGCAAGCGUUAAUCGGAAUUACUGGGCGUAAAGCGCACGCAGGCGGUCUGUCAAGUCGGAUGUGAAAUCCCCGGGCUCAACCUGGGAACUGCAUUCGAAACUGGCAGGCUUGAGUCUUGUAGAGGGGGGUAGAAUUCCAGGUGUAGCGGUGAAAUGCGUAGAGAUCUGGAGGAAUACCGGUGGCGAAGGCGGCCCCCUGGACAAAGACUGACGCUCAGGUGCGAAAGCGUGGGGAGCAAACAGGAUUAGAUACCCUGGUAGUCCACGCCGUAAACGAUGUCUACUUGGAGGUUGUGCCCUUGAGGCGUGGCUUCCGGAGCUAACGCGUUAAGUAGACCGCCUGGGGAGUACGGCCGCAAGGUUAAAACUCAAAUGAAUUGACGGGGGCCCGCACAAGCGGUGGAGCAUGUGGUUUAAUUCGAUGCAACGCGAAGAACCUUACCUGGUCUUGACAUCCACGGAAGUUUUCAGAGAUGAGAAUGUGCCUUCGGGAACCGUGAGACAGGUGCUGCAUGGCUGUCGUCAGCUCGUGUUGUGAAAUGUUGGGUUAAGUCCCGCAACGAGCGCAACCCUUAUCCUUUGUUGCCAGCGGUUAGGCCGGGAACUCAAAGGAGACUGCCAGUGAUAAACUGGAGGAAGGUGGGGAUGACGUCAAGUCAUCAUGGCCCUUACGACCAGGGCUACACACGUGCUACAAUGGCGCAUACAAAGAGAAGCGACCUCGCGAGAGCAAGCGGACCUCAUAAAGUGCGUCGUAGUCCGGAUUGGAGUCUGCAACUCGACUCCAUGAAGUCGGAAUCGCUAGUAAUCGUGGAUCAGAAUGCCACGGUGAAUACGUUCCCGGGCCUUGUACACACCGCCCGUCACACCAUGGGAGUGGGUUGCAAAAGAAGUAGGUAGCUUAACCUUCGGGAGGGCGCUUACCACUUUGUGAUUCAUGACUGGGGUGAAGUCGUAACAAGGUAACCGUAGGGGAACCUGCGGUUGGA